ensembl:lncRNA
GAUCUUCAGACCAAGCCUCACAAAAGUUCUCCAACAGAAUUUUGAUCCUCACAACCGUUUGGCCGGUACAGCCACUGAAAUUCAGCAGAAAAGAUGCCAAACAGGAAGUAAAGUCAUACCUCAGCAAAUCUUUCAGAUAUCAACACCAAACUUGGUAUGCACGUGGAAGACACUACAACAUGUCCCCAUGUGCAAAGGCAACUUCAUAUCUUCAAAAAUGAUUGAUAUAAAGCAAAUUGCAUUAAUCGCUAACGCGAAUGGUGAAUAUGUAGCCGGGUAGCUUUAGGACCCAGGAGUUUAUAGGCAGCCAAUGGUUGACGUGCUGUUCUGAAUGCUGCCUGACACGCGCGCAACAUGCACGAGACGGACAGACACAAUUUUAUUGAGACUAUUUUGUGGAUACGAGAGAAGAGGACGAUUUCUGGUGUGGAGAAGAUUUUCGUCUACAUUUGACCGUUUCCCCAUCUCCUCCCAUACCAUGGGCCAGAGGAGCAUGACCACCUGGGUGAGGAGUUUCUGAAUUAUCAGACCAUGCCAACCACCUCCCUUCAGGACGAAACUGAGAUGGAAAGCUUCUGGGCUGGAAUGGCAACACGGAAACAUAAGAUGGCAGGAACUAAAGAAUUUGAGAGGCUUGUUGCCGUCGCCAAGCUGGUCCUGGUGUUGCCCCAUUCGAAUGCAGAUGCUGAGAGGGUGUUUUCAGUGU